UGCAAGUCGAACGCCCCGCAAGGGGAGUGGCAGACGGGUGAGUAACGCGUGGGAACGUACCUUUCGCUUCGGAAUAGUCCCGGGAAACUGGGUUUAAUACCGAAUACGCCGUAUUGGGAAAGAUUUAUCGGCGAAAGAUCGGCCCGCGUUAGAUUAGCUAGUUGGCGGUGUAAUGGACCACCAAGGCUACGAUCUAUAGCUGGUCUGAGAGGAUGAUCCGCCACACUGGGACUGAGACACGGCCCAGACUCCUACGGGAGGCAGCAGUGGGGAAUAUUGGACAAUGGGCGAAAGCCUGAUCCAGCCAUGCCGCGUGUGUGAAGAAGGCCUUUUGGUUGUAAAGCACUUUAAGCGAGGAGGAGGCUACUUGGAUUAAUACUCUAGGAUAGUGGACGUUACUCGCAGAAUAAGCGCCGGCUAACUCUGUGCCAGCAGCCGCGGUAAUACAGAGGGUGCGAGCGUUAAUCGGAUUUACUGGGCGUAAAGCGUGCGUAGGCGGCUUUUUAAGUCGGAUGUGAAAUCCCUGAGCUUAACUUAGGAAUUGCAUUCGAUACUGGGAAGCUAGAGUAUGGGAGAGGAUGGUAGAAUUCCAGGUGUAGCGGUGAAAUGCGUAGAGAUCUGGAGGAAUACCGAUGGCGAAGGCAGCCAUCUGGCCUAAUACUGACGCUGAGGUACGAAAGCAUGGGGAGCAAACAGGAUUAGAUACCCUGGUAGUCCAUGCCGUAAACGAUGUCUACUAGCCGUUGGGGCCUUUGAGGCUUUAGUGGCGCAGCUAACGCGAUAAGUAGACCGCCUGGGGAGUACGGUCGCAAGACUAAAACUCAAAUGAAUUGACGGGGGCCCGCACAAGCGGUGGAGCAUGUGGUUUAAUUCGAUGCAACGCGAAGAACCUUACCUGGUCUUGACAUAGUAAGAACUUUCCAGAGAUGGAUUGGUGCCUUCGGGAACUUACAUACA
rnacentral:rRNA from 1 species